CUACGGAGGGUGCAAGCGUUAUUCGGAAUCACUGGGCGUAAAGGACGCGUAGGCGGGUUGGCAAGUCAGAUGUGAAAUCCUACAGCUUAACUGUAGAACUGCAUUUGAAACUGCUAACCUAGAGUAUGGGAGGGGGAGAUGGAAUUAGUGGUGUAGGGGUAAAAUCCGUAGAUAUCACUAGGAAUACCAAAAGCGAAGGCGAUCUCCUGGAACAUAACUGACGCUAAGGCGUGAAAGCGUGGGGAGCAAACAGGAUUAGAAACCCUUGUAGUCC
rnacentral:rRNA from 1 species